rnacentral:rRNA from 1 species
UACGUAGGUGGCAAGCGUUAUCCGGAAUUACUGGGCGUAAAGCGCACGCAGGCGGCUUUUCAAGUUCGACGUGAAAGCUCCCGGCUUAACUGGGAGAGGUCGUUGAAGACUGAGAGGCUUGAGGCAAGGAGAGGGGUGUAGAAUUCCCGGUGUAGUGGUGGAAUGCGUAGAUAUCGGGAGGAAUACCAGUGGCGAAAGCGGCACCCUAGCCUUGUGCUGACGCUCAUGUGCGAAAGCGUGGGGAGCGAACGGGAUUAGAAACCCCCGUAGUCC